rnacentral:rRNA from 1 species
CCUACGGGGGGCUGCAGUAGGGAAUAUUGGACAAUGGAGGCAACUCUGAUCCAGCCAUCCCGCGUGAAGGAUUAAGGUCCUAUGGAUUGUAAACUUCUUUUCUCUGGGAAUACAAACUCCGUUUCUACGGAGCUUGCAGGUACCAGAUGAAUAAGCACCGGCUAACUCCGUGCCAGCAGCCGCGGUAAUACGGAGGGUGCAAGCGUCAUCCGGAUUCACUGGGUUUAAGGUGGCCGUGGAUGUCAGUGGUGAAAUGUCGCAGCUUAACUGCGAAACUGCCAUUGAUACUGUUUAGCUUGAAUCAAGUUGAGGUGGAUGGAAUAUUACAUGUAGCGGUGAAAUGCUUAGAUAUGUAAUAGAACACCAAUUGCGAAGGCAGUUCACUAAACUUGUAUUGACACUGAGGCUCGAAAGCGUGGGGAUCAAACAGGAUUAGAUACCCCAGUAGUC